CCCCUGGAGGGAAAAUUCCCCCGGUGGCGGCAGGGGGAGCGCGGGCGAGAGGAGCCCCCAUGCCGGUGCCCGAGGGGCGGCGGGAUCCCGCUGGUUUCACUGGGGCCCCGACGGGAAGCUGGGCACCCUCCGGUAGAACAGGUGGCGGCCGCCGCGGCUCCGGUCGCAGCCUCCCGGCUAUCUUUGUACCGCGGGGAUACCGGGGGAGUUGUACUGAAAUACGAUCUAUCGAUUAAUUUGAUUUUACCAAUUUACGUAUUUUAAGAUUUGCCCUCCUCCCCCUGGGCACCCCGGCGCCGAACCCUGUGCCCCCCGGGAACCCCAGGCAGGGGCUGGGAAAGGGCUGAUGCGGGGUGACGAUGGCUCGCUCCCGGAUCCCUUCGGGAAGCUGGAACGGGGCUGGAUGCUGCGGGAAAUGGGAAUUUGGGGCUCCCGAGGUGCUACCGGGGGCUGCGAACGCUUUUUGGGGGAAACGGGGGAGCAGGGAGUUGGUGCCUCGCUCCAAGGGGUCCCUGGCGCCGUCACCUCCAGCUCCUGAGUGAUGCUGAUCACAUUAAAGUGUAUUUUUGCCUAGUUCUUUGGGUUUUUAUCUUUAAAUCCAAGCUGCUCACCUGCACUCAGUCUCUGUGGUGGUGCAUUGAUUUUGUUUUUUUGGGUAGUGGCAUUUCUCCAAAGAUUAUAAAUAGUGACACCCAUCAGCAGAAAACAAGCGGCGGCUGACCUGUGCGGUGGGGGGAUGGAUGGAGGAGUGGAGAGACGAUGGGUGGGGGGAUGUGAAGCCAUUGAGGCUCCCCUGGCUCAUGCAGGGUGGGGGAAAUGGGGAGGGUUUGCGUUUUGGGGGGGACGGGGAGAGGUUGUGUGCUGGGAGAGCUGCUCUGAGCUUCGGGGCUGGCAGGGGGUGAUAGGGAAACUGAGGCACGGGGCUGGUGGGGGCUCCGUGCUCCGCUGUAAAGGCGGCCUCUGUUCCCCCGGUUUCGGGGGGAGUUGGGGUUUGCUGCUCCCCAGCCCUCGUGUGCGGUGCUCUGCUGGCUCAGGGCUGAGCUGCUGCAGCCCCUGAGGGGCAGUGGGGGGACGCACUGGGGACCGGGGGGCUUUGUGGGGAAAGUCCCCUCCUAAGCAAAUCCUUUUCCCUCGGUGGGUUCCCUUGGCUGCAGGACGGCAAUGGCGAGGGGCAGGACCGAGCCUGCUCCUGGUGUAAAUCAGGUGUUUGCUCCAUUUCCCUGGCAGAUGCAGGCUCAGCUCCGCAGUGGAGCCGAAGGGACUGGAUCCAGCUGGAGGAAAGGUGGAUGUGACACUUGGGGACGUGCUGAGGGCACGGUUGGCUCAGUGAUGUUUCCCAACCCAAAUGACUCCGUGGCAAGGUGCGCUCUGCUGCUCGGUGUUGCACCGGGAAUUCAGCGAUGAGCUGCUCGGGGUCCCCCCGUGCCCCCCGUGCUCCCGGGCUGUUUUCGGCGGAGAGGACGCGCCUUGGGGACACACGGCCGCGCUGCUGCGUGGCACUCCUGCCGGAAUUAUGCGGAAACUCUUUGCGCUCGGCCCCGACUUCGUUAGCAGCAAUUAAACAAAUAAAAUAUUUGGGUUUGCAGCUUC